rnacentral:rRNA from 1 species
AUUGAACGCUGGCGGCAGGCCUAACACAUGCAAGUCGAACGAGUGGCGGACGGGUGAGUAAUGUCUGGGAAACUGCCUGAUGGCGGGGGAUAACUACUGGAAACGGUAGCUAAUACCGCAUACCAUCAGAUGUGCCCAGAUGGGAUUAGCUAGUUGGUGGGGUAACGGCUCACCAAGGCGACGAUCCCUAGCUGGUCUGAGAGGAUGACCAGCCAAACGGGAACGGAGACACGGGCCAGACUCCUACGGGAGGCAGCAGUGGGGAAAAUUGCACAAUGUGGGCAAGCCUGAUGCAGCCAUGCCGAGUGUAUGAAGAAGGCCUUCGGGGUGUAAAGUACUUUCAGCGGGGAGGCGUUACCCGAAGAAGAAGCACCGGCUAACUCCGUGCCAGCAGCCGCGGUAAUUC